AGCAUCCUACUUGUUUUCUGUGCAUUUAUUUGUUUGGGCUUGCAUGUUGACCGGCUUUUGAAUCUCAGUAACGUUAGAAAAUUAAGAAAAAAGGAAAAAAAAAGAGAAAAAUAGCAGUUGGAGAGUUAAUUGAUUGUUUUAGAAAAACCGAUGUCCAAGUACUGUCGGAACUCUGCCGAAAUUUUGAGACAGUGUAAAAAUGUUUUAUUUUAAAUAGUUGUUUUAUUCAAAAAGAGUCCGUCAUUUUAGUUUGUCUUGUUUGCAAAAAUGGAAAAUGAAAAAUAGUUUGCUUUGUCAUGAGAAAAGAAAAAAAAAGAGUCUUUAUUUUUGGUCUUCUUGUUUCAAAAUAGUUUAUUUACCAAUGGAAAAAUAGGGUAUUUUAUUGAAAAAGAAAAAAAAAGAGUCUUUCUUUUUGGUUGGGAAAAAUAGGUUGUUUGUUGAAAAUGAGAAGAAAAAAAUCGUCAUUUUGUCUUGUUUUCAAAAUAGAAAAGGAAAAAUAGUUUGUUUUGUCAUGAAAUAUGAGAAGGGAAAAGGAGUCUUUUAUUUUAGUCUUGUUUUCGAAAAUGAAAAAGAGAAAAAUAGUUUGUUCUGCCAUAGAAAAUGAAAAAAAAAAGAAAAAAAGAAAAAAAGUCUUUUAUUUUUUAGGCUAUUUUAUCGUUUGAUGAAAAACAAAGAAAAAGAGUCUUGUUUUUAAAAGUAGUUUUUUUUUUUUUUGCUUAUGAAAUGCCAAAAAAAAAAUAUAUCUUAUUUUAAAAUAGUUCGGUUAAUCUGCCCGAACUACGCAUGGUUUGAUUCUCACAAGGCGUGAGAUACAUAGGCAACCCUCAUCGGGUCCAACCUCCCCUUUACAAAAUAGCCCAAAAAAUAUCAAAAUUUUAAUUUAUGUCAUAAAUAAACCAGGAGAUGCCGUUUAUGUCAAAAAUAGCCAAAUGUUCCCAAACGGAACGUCGGAAGGCUGACUUUGCAUAAACAGCUACCUUUGGUCAUAUUUUAAUUUUUGACCCUCACAACCUUAAAUCUUUGUCCGCGAGGCACUGAAAGGCCGUGUUUGCAAUACCGGAUCAUUUAUUUUAAUUUGAAAAAAUAAGAAGAGUCAGUGGCCAAGUGGAUACCGUUCUUAUUUUGGGUUAAAAUUGGCAUAUAGGGAAAGGAAUCUGUCGGUGGUUUUUAAGUUUGUAUUUCUUUUGAUUAGAGUAUGUGGGUCGUUUGUUUUUGAGUCUGUCAGAAGCUGAUAGUUUAAGUUUGUCGGUUUUUAAACAUUUGUAGUCAGAGUUAGUUUUAUUAUGAAAAAUUGAAAAAUCCAAAAAAUAUUUUAUUGUUGUUAUCUUCUAUCUGCACGAACUACGCCUGGUCUGAUUCGUGCGGGGUCACGAUAUGUAGGCAAUCCACAUAGGAUUCGACCACAACCAAAAAAAUAAAAGAGAAAAGUAAAGUAAAAGAAAAAAUGAAAAAUAGAAAAGAGAAAUUGAAAAAUGUGAAAACAUGUUGUUAAUAUUGAGGGUCGACUCAAUCCAUUCUAACAUGUUUUGUUUUGAAUUGUGUAGAAAGUUGAGGUGGUUGCUUUGUCGUAACUCAUCCAUAAGACACAAGGUCGAAAAGCAAGGUAGUCAUGGCUGGCAAAGGGUUGAACACAGGUAUUGCUGAUCCGUCUAGAGGAAUUGUUGAAUCAGAAUUUGAGUUGAAAGAAGAGGUUUUGAGGUUGAAAACACAGAUAGUCGGAAUGCACAAAGCUUGGGCCAGUGGGUAUCCUCCGACAUCAGUCCCUGAUGCCCAACAUUAUCAUUCUCUUCAUUUUGAAUCUACCAGUGAGACUACGAAGCUUGCUAAAAUAGUGGAGCGGAAUGAGAUAUCCAAAAAACUGGAAGGGCUUAAGACGCUGAAGUUUAAUUUGUAUGAUGGGCGGGGAGAUCCGGUUGACCAUUUGAGGGAUUAUUGCAAUUAAACGAGGAAUGGCGGCAAGGAAGAUGAGUUGUUGAUGUCGCAUUUCAGUGAGAGCCUGACUGGUGCAGCCUUGGAAUGGCAUGAUCAUCAAGAUAUUGGGAAGUUGCACACGCUGGGCGACAUGACUCAAGAUUUUUUGCGACAUUUUCAGUACAACAAAGACAGUGUCCCAAUCAAGUCCUCCCCAUCUCAGAUGAAAAAGAAACCCAAAGAAAGUUUCAGGGAAUUUUGGGUCAGAUGGAACGAACAAGUUUCUCAAUAUGCUCCUUCCAUUGAUAAAAAAGAUAUUGUUGAGCCACGCCAACGAGAGAUCCCAAUGGUCAUUCCUGCCAAGCGUCUUCGGCCUCAACUCUAAUCCCAAACAUGUCCCCGAGCCUCACCUAGGAUACCUCAGUAUUAUUCUCCAAACAAUGGCCGGUCAGGUGUCCAAACACUAGGUCACUCCCAUUGCCAACGACAGCGGACGGUGGUCGUUCUUGGUAAAUGCUUUCAGCCUCCAUACCGACCCGAUGAACGUCCCCAAACUCCACAUAAGCCACCAGGCAUUCCUUCCAUUGGCGACAGGGUGCAGUGACCGUUCUUGCUAAGCCCCACGGAUAUCCUAGUACACCAAGUGUCCCGCCCCGAUGCUACGUCCCUGGAUCAAGUUUCGAGCAAAUCAGGCAUUUAGUAAUGAGAGGUUGCAGAAAAAGAAAGUCUAAACUCCCUUGGGAGAGUCAUACGCCAAUCUGUUCCAGAGACUAAAGAGUUAGGGCGUGUUGAAGCCUAUUCAGAUAAAAAUACUAGGCCCUCUUUCAAAGAAGUUGGAUUUUCCCCAAAGAUGCGCAUAUUGCUCAAAUGCCCCCGGACAUGACACAGAAAAAUGUUGGAGGCUAAAGAAAGUAAUUCAGGAGCUUAUGGAUGCAGGCGACAUCAUCGUGCCAAAUUUAGAUGCAACUAACACCAGCCAAAGUCCACCGCCUGUGUAAAAUGAGACGCACAUGGCGGAUAUGAUUUCCUUGGAAAUGUUAUUUGAAGGCCCCAGUAUUAUUGAUGCAAAACUCAGUGGCUAAGAUGCCGAGCUUGGUAAUUGGAAAGACACUUCAUCUCUUGGCCAGCUGGAGAGAAGUCUUGGUGGUUUAUUUUGUUGUCAUUUCUGUUUUCCGGGUUAUUUUCAGGGUUGUAAUCCGGAUAUUGUCUUGUGAUUCAAACCCUUCUAUCCUUUUAUAUGUUUAGUUCCUUUAGUCGUCAUAUUUUAUGUAGUGUUAUCUAGGUUUAUUUUAGUAUUGUACCCUAGUUGUGUUUCUUGUUUUGUUGUUAAACCCUUCCAUCGUCUGUUUAAUAUAAUUCUCUGUUUAUUGCCAUUUCUAGUCAUUUUUGUUUAGUUGUCUUUUCUUUCUACAAUUCUUUUCCUGCUGGUUCUAGUGACAUGACAUGCACACAUAAUUCUCAGUCGGAUUUUUAAAGCCAUGUUGGUCGGGAAGCAAUGAAACCAUUUUGAAGACGAUGAGGGCACUUGAGGAAAUAAGAACUGAUUUGGACGUUUUGAGAUUGUUUGAUGCUUGAACCAUGAGAAACUGGGUCAAUUAGAUUCUGAAGAUGAUGAGGGUAUUUGAGGAAAUAAGAAUAGAUUUGAAUGUUGUGAGAUUGUUUGACGCCCGAACCAUGUGAAACUGGGGCAAGCAAAAUAUAAAAAAUCCCCGCAAAAGAAAGUUGGCCAAAUUGACAGGGGGACGAUCGGGGUAAUAAGAGUAAGAGUGUGGCCCAAUGGCACAUUAAAUCAGACGGAUGUAGAAAGAAGGUGUUGGAAAUGGCCGUCAAUUCCGAUGCAGUCAAACGAUACUGUGUAUGGUUUCUGUAUUUUGAUUGUACCUGUUUGUACUUGGCAUAUUUUGAGGGUUGAAAUGACGAAGGCGUUUUGUUCUGCUAUUCAAAUACUUUUUCCAUUGUCACCCUUUUUGAGCCAUUUUUAUUUUCUUUCAUGCCCCUCUUUCGGAAUUAAUGGAACAAUCAAAGAAAUGCAAGUGCCGGAGAUAAGCAAAUGGAAAAAGAUGGAAAAAGAAAAGGAAAGAAAGGAAAAAGAAGACGGAAAAGAAGAGAAAAGGGAAAAAAGAGGGAAAAAAGGAAAAAGAAAGAAAGGAAAAGAAAAAAAGAAAAGAAAAGAAAAGAAAAGAGAAGAAAAGAUAGAAAAAGAAAAGAAAAAAAAGAAAGAAAAACAGAAAGAAAAGAAGAGAAAGAAAAUCACGACAACAUAGUUUCUAUGACGUGAACUACGUUUGACUUGAUCCCCAAAGGGUAUGGAGGCAGGCUUUCUGAGGUUCAGUCAUACCAAAAUAAAAUUCCGAAAGUCCCCAAGCAAGAAACUGGGUUAGAAGUUUUGAUUGUGGAGAGACAUCGGAUUUUGAAAGUUCUAGUCUUAACCCCAUUUUGAAUUGAUUUGAGACUUUAUAUCAUUUCUUUCUAACCCUAUCCAAAAGCCCAAAUUUCAGUCCAAAGGAAGACCUUCCGAUCAAUCUUUGAGAAAUGCCAAGUCAAGAAGGAAAGAUAAUUCAUGUAAGGGCCAACACUCCAGUCCAAACAAGGUGAUGAAAGCUGAGAGAAAUAAAAAAAAUGAGAGUCAUAUUGGCGAAAACCUUCACGGGCACCUUGAGGCGAUGGUAAGUCGAGAGAAAGAAAAAAUGAGAGAGAUUUGUUGGUGAAAACCCUUCGGGCACUACAAGUCGAAUAAGGAAUGUAAAUCGGAUUAGAUAAAUGGAGCACCGAAGCCCUGUCUCACGACGAAAGAUACAACAAGAGAUGAACAUCGGGUUUGAUUGGCAGAAUAUCCACAUGUGCAUGUCAUGGUCGUUAGAGUUGGUAUCCAUAUUUUAUAGGUUUCUACUUCGUAGUGUCUUCUUUAGUGAUCAUUUCUUUACUAUGUCUUUCAGUUCGUUCUUCUGUUUUAUUCACUUCCUCUUUCUGAGUCUGUUUGAUCGUAACAAGUGAGAAAUGACUUUAAAUUUUCCACCAGCUUUCCAAUUGGAGAAAACAACAAGAUUAAGGGUAAUAAAUCAACACGCUUGGGGGAUCAUAUGAAACACAAAGUUUGGUAGAUAAGUUCAGGAGUAAUGCAACAGAUGGAUGGUAUUGGGUUUGAACAAAGAAUAGAUAUUUUCUGUGACAAGGGUCAAGCGAAUGAGCAAUAGACUUUAUGGUCAAGGGGAUAGGGGUUGUGAUUUAAGAAGAAACAACAUACUGUGGGGGCAGUAGAUGCAAUUUGGGAAUUCAUGUAAGACUCAAAGGUCAGGAAAAUGCCAGUUCAUGAGCGAUGUGAGAAACAGAAGAUAUAGGGUUUGAAUGCAGAAAAGGUAUGGAUUCAGAUAAGAAGAUUAGAAGUAAUAAUUGAGAGGUGUUCGUCAAGAAGGGCGUAAGUUAUCCGCCAAGUUUCAAAGAUGGUCGUACAAUGCCGAGCAUGGAAAGGAGAAAAGAAAGGCCAUCCCCAACGGAAGUACCACAACCAACCACCACAAUUUAAAAUGACAAAAUUUUCUUUGAUUUGAAAUAGAGGCAUAGAAAUGUUAUUGAUGGCAAAAAGAUAUGCUGGGGCAGAAAAUUUUCUACCGUUUUGAAAAUUGUUUUUGAAGUCGGGCACCAUUCGAAGAACAUGAAGGUCAAAUACAAGUUUGUUAAAAGAAGAAGAGGGAAGUAGUGUUCGGGAAAAAAAUACCAGUUUUAAGGAAAGUAAUUUC
rnacentral:lncRNA from 1 species